UUUAAAGAGAGUUUGAUCCUGGCUCAGGACGAACGCUGGCGGCGUGCCUAAUACAUGCAAGUCGAACGAACGGAGGAAGAGCUUGCUCUUCCAAAGUUAGU
rnacentral:rRNA from 1 species